rnacentral:rRNA from 1 species
CGUGUAGGCGGCCAAGCAAGUCAGAGGUGAAAGCCCUGGGCUCAACCUGGGAACUGCCUUUGAAACUGUUUGGCUUGAGACCGGAAGAGGAUGGCGGAAUUCCCAGUGUAGAGGUGAAAUUCGUAGAUAUUGGGAAGAACACCGGUUGCGAAGGCGGGUUUCUGGGCAUGCACUGACGCUGAGGCACGAAAGCUGGGGGAGCAAACA